rnacentral:rRNA from 1 species
AACAAGGAUUCCCCUAGUAACGGCGAGUGAAGCGGGAUGAGCUCAAAUUUCAAAUCUGGCGUCCUCCGGGCGUCCGAGUUGUAAUCUAGAGAAGCGUUUUCUGCGUUGGACCGACCAUAAGUUACCUCGAACGGUACAUCAUAGAGGGUGAGAAUCCCGUAUGUUGGUCGGAGCCCAGGGCUAUACGAUGCGCUCUCGACGAGUCGAGUUGUUUGGGAAUGCAGCUCAAAAUGGGAGGUAAAUUCCUUCUAAAGCUAAAUACAUUGGGAUGACCGAUAGCGAACAAGUACCGUGAGGGAAAGAUGAAAAGCACUUUGGAAAGAGAGUCAAACAGUACGUGAAAUUGUUAAAAGGGAAAC